GUGGAUUAGAUACCCGGGUAGUCCACGCCGUAAACGAUGGGCACUAGGCGUCGGGGGGAGCGACCCUCCCGGUGCCGUCGCUAACGCAAUAAGUGCCCCGCCUGGGGAGUACGGCCGCAAGGUUGAAACUCAAAGGAAUUGACGGGGGCCCGCACAAGCGGUGGAGCAUGUGGUUUAAUUCGAUGCAACGCGAAGAACCUUACCUGGGCUUGACAUGCACGGGAAAGCCGGUGGAAACACCGGGCCUCCUUCGGGACCCGCGCACAGGUGCUGCACGGCUGUCGUCAGCU
rnacentral:rRNA from 1 species